rnacentral:lncRNA from 1 species
UGGGGUACUUGCCUAUAGGUUAGCCAUGUGUCUAAAGCUCGUGUGAACUAUAAUAAAAAGAAACUAUAAGUUUCUCAUCACAAAAAUUGGAAAUUAGAAUUCGAUCAGCCUAUUACUUUAUUCCAGCUCAGGUCGGCUUUGGAGCAUGGAGGGUUAUUGCCGGAGCCGCAGUUCUCCGACAAAGCCUGAUUCUGAGCUGACACAAUAUGUCACGCCCAUCAUGUUCAAGCUUUACCUGCUCAUCUUCAUGGAUUGGUCUUCGGUUUGUCUUUAGUGUCGCAAUGUCUUUGUUGGAUUUAAGGAUUGGGCUAGUUCCAAGCUUUCUUUAAUUUCCGUCAACAACUUGAGUUUUUUAUCUUGCGUUUAAUUCACACUUUGCAUAUCUUAGCUUGAAUUAAAAUGUCAAGAUUUGGCCCACGUUCAUAACUCAGUUGGAGGCAUCUUCAGACGUCCUUCCUUUGGAUCCUGUCGGUCGAAUGUAUCAAGAUGAAAUAUAAAGGACCUAUCAAACCUCCGAGCUUCAGAAAUCCCUUGCGAGUUUAAAAAGCCCCAAACCUAGCCCACGUGUUUAAUGAAAAUGCAGGGACCCCUUAGUUCUACUGGACACCAGUCAAAUCAUAGUCAAACCCAAAUGGACGGAUCAUAACCCACCCCGCUUUAAUUGAACCUCAAUAUAAUUAAUUAUCUUGGUCUAUUAGACAGACAAACCUCAACUGAGUAGGGCUAGAAGCGGCCCUGGCUCUUAGUUGAGCCUCAACAUAAUGCUGUUGGUCUCUUCCGAUAGAGAAAUUGGGUUAAGUAGGGUUGGAAAGGGGACAGGCUGGAUCAG